rnacentral:rRNA from 1 species
CCUACGGGAUGCAGCAGUGGGGAAUAUUGGACAAUGGGCGAAAGCCUGAUCCAGCCAUGCCGCGUGUGUGAAGAAGGCCUUCGGGUUGUAAAGCACUUUCAGUGGGGAAGAAAGCCUUGGGGCUAAUACCCUCGAGGAAGGACAUCACCCACAGAAGAAGCACCGGCUAACUCCGUGCCAGCAGCCGCGGUAAUACGGAGGGGUGCGAGCGUUAAUCGGAAUUACUGGGCGUAAAGCGCGCGUAGGCGGUCUGAUAAGCCGGUUGUGAAAGCCCCGGGCUCAACCUGGGAACGGCAUCCGGAACUGUCAGGCUAGAGUGCAGGAGAGGAAGGUAGAAUUCCCGGUGUAGCGGUGAAAUGCGUAGAGAUCGGGAGGAAUACCAGUGGCGAAGGCGGCCUUCUGGACUGACACUGACGCUGAGGUGCGAAAGCGUGGGUAGCAAACAGGAUUAGAUACCCCGGUAGUC